AAGCCAUGCGUAGUACGGCGAGUGAGCGGCAACAGCUCAAAUUUGAAAUCUGGCUCUCGGGCCCGAGUUGUAAUUUGUAGAGGAUACUUUUGAUGCGGUGCCUUCCGAGUUCCCUGGAACGGGACGCCAUAGAGGGUGAGAGCCCCGUCUGGUUGGAUGCCAAAUCUCUGUAAAGUUCCUUCAACGAGUCGAGUAGUUUGGGAAUGCUGCUCUAAAUGGGAGGUAUAUGUCUUCUAAAGCUAAAUACCGGCCAGAGACCGAUAGCGCACAAGUAGAGUGAUCGAAAGAUGAAAAGCACUUUGAAAAGAGAGUUAAAAAGUACGUGAAAUUGUUGAAAGGGAAGCGUUUAUGACCAGACUUGGGCUUGGUUAAUCAUCUGGGGUUCUCCCCAGUGCACUUUUCCAGUCCAGGCCAGCAUCAGUUUUCCCCGGGGGAUAAAGGCGGCGGGAAUGUGGCUCUCUUCGGGGAGUGUUAUAGCCCACCGUGUAAUACCCUGGGGGGGACUGAGGUUCGCGCAUCUGCAAGGAUGCUGGCGUAAUGGUCAUCAACGACCCGUCUUGAAACACGGGACCAAAA
rnacentral:rRNA from 1 species